rnacentral:rRNA from 1 species
CAGCCGCCGCGGUAAUACGAAGGGUGCAAGCGUUACUCGGAAUUACUGGGCGUAAAGCGUGCGUAGGUGGUGGUUUAAGUCCGUUGUGAAAGCCCUGGGCUCAACCUGGGAAUUGCAGUGGAUACUGGGUCACUAGAGUGUGGUAGAGGAUAGUGGAAUUUCCGGUGUAGCAGUGAAAUGCGUAGAGAUCGGAAGGAACAUCUGUGGCGAAGGCGACUAUCUGGCCAACACUGACACUGAGGCACGAAAGCGUGGGGAGCAAACAGGAUUAGAUACCGUGUAGUCCCUGUCUCUUAUACAA